GGCUAGCUCAGUCGGUAGAGCAUGAGGCUCCAGUGUCUUCGGGGGCGUGGGUUCAAAUCCCACCGCUGCCA
rnacentral:tRNA from 1 species